GCAUAUCAAUAAGCGGAGGAAAAGAAACCAACCGGGAUUGCCCCAGUAACGGCGAGUGAAGCGGCAAGAGCUCAAAUUUGAAAUCUGGCCCCUCCGGGGUCCGAGUUGUAAUUUGCAGAGGAUGCUUCGGGUGCGGCCCCUGUCUAAGUGCCCUGGAACGGGCCGUCAGAGAGGGUGAGAAUCCCGUCUUGGGCAGGGUGCCCGUGCCCGUGUGAAGCUCCUUCGACGAGUCGAGUUGUUUGGGAAUGCAGCUCUAAAUGGGUGGUAAAUUUCAUCUAAAGCUAAAUACCGGCCGGAGACCGAUAGCGCACAAGUAGAGUGAUCGAAAGAUGAAAAGCACUUUGAAAAGAGAGUUAAACAGCACGUGAAAUUGUUGAAAGGGAAGCGCUUGCGACCAGACUCGGCCCUGGGGUUCAGCCAGCAUUCGUGCUGGUGUACUUCUCCAGGGCCGGGCCAGCGUCGGUUUGGGCGGUCGGUCAAAGGCCCCAGGAAUGUAUCACCCUCCGGGGUGUCUUAUAGCCUGGGGUGCAAUGCGGCCAGCCCGGACCGAGGAACGCGCUUCGGCACGGACGCUGGCGUAAUGGUCGCAAACGACCCGUCUUGAAACACGGACCAAGGAGUCUAACAUCUACGCGAGUGUUCGGGUGUCAAACCCGUACGCGCAGUGAAAGCGAACGGAGGUGGGAGCCCCUUCUGGGGCGCACCAUCGACCGAUCCUGAUGUCUUCGGAUGGAUUUGAGUAAGAGCGUAGCUGUGGGGACCCGAAAGAUGGUGAACUAUGCCUGAAUAGGGCGAAGCCAGAGGAAACUCUGGUGGAGGCUCGCAGCGGUUCUGACGUGCAAAUCGAUCGUCAAAUUUGGGUAUAGGGGCGAAAGACUAAUCGAACCAUCUGGUAGCUGGUUCCUGCG
rnacentral:rRNA from 1 species